CUCCCCAGAGCCCUUGGGGGGCGGGGGGGGGGGGGGGGUCCGGGGUCAGCAGCCGGCUGGACGAUGCCUGGACCACCGGCAUCCUGGCCACGAGGCCAUGGACAGCCACUGCCAUCGUGCCCCAGACUUCCCCCAUCGCCAGCCCCGAAUCAGGCAGCAGGACCACCAUGUGCUUCCCUGGGAUCUCAGGGUCAUCCUUAACGUCCCCAAACAACCUCAGGGGGUCCUGGGUCUGUCUCCUAAUUGGGGUUCCAGUGGUCCCCUCUGGCCACUGGUGACCGUGCAGCUGCAGCCUCCUCUCACCUUCAUGACCCACUCUGGCCUCUGCCCUGACCCCAGCCCCAUCCCUCCGUGCAAGGGCCCUGUGGCUUGCUGGGGUCUCAGCAAGGUUCACAUUCACCCCCCUCCAGGCUCUGCCUGCCUGCUCCCACGCAGUCCCCCAUCAGGCUUCGUCACCCACCUCCCGCCCCACACUCCCACCUGGCUCCUGUCUGCUCCGCACCUCUCUCACCUGGCUUUCACCCUCACCCCGCGGCCCAUCCGUCGCCUCCAGGCCCAGGUUGUUGUGCAUCUGCCCGGGCCCCCGUGUCUCUCCCAGAGCUGCUCUCGCUCACAACCACCUGGUUAUUUGCAUCAUGUAGUUUGUGGCCGUCCCAAGUCCCAGCCCCGAGAUGGGUCCCAUGAGUCCUGUGUUCGUCACGGCCCUACAGGCCCCGCACAGGGCCUGGAACAGCGCAGGGGCUCAAGAGGAUGCCAUUGGGGCGUUGGGACAGUGAAGUCCCCUCUGGAGUGUCCUCAGGCACCAUCAAGGGUGCCUGUCCAGUGACGGGCAGCCAGGCGGAAGCCAGGUGCCCGUGAGGCCCUGUGGUCACUGCCCAUGGCACCGGACUGCCCUGGAGGGGUGAGUGCAGCCAGCGGGUGACCUGACCACCCGGCUGACCACAGAGAAAGGUGAAAGGUUGCAGCUCUGCCUCUGAGGAGCAAUCAAAGCAAUUAAGAGGCUCC
rnacentral:lncRNA from 1 species